CGGAUUGGAGUCUGCAACUCGACUCCAUGAAGCUGGAUUCGCUAGUAAUCGCGCAUCAGCCAUGGCGCGGUGAAUACGUUCCCGGGCCCUGUACACACCGCCCGUCAAGCCAUGGGAGUCGGGAGUGCCUGAAGUUCGUGACCGUCACAGGAGCGACCUAAGGCAAGACCGAUGACUGGGGCUAAGUCGUAACAAGGUAAC
rnacentral:rRNA from 1 species